GGCUCGUUCCACGAGUUCCGUGCCGCAGCAAACGCAUUAAGUGCCCCGCCUGGGGAGUACGGCCGCAAGGCUAAAACUCAAAGGAAUUGACGGGGGCCCGCACAAGCGGCGGAGCAUGCUGAUUAAUUCGAUGCAACGCGAAGAACCUUACCAAGGCUUGACAUAUACCGAAAACUCAUGGAGACAUGGGGUCCGCAAGGGCGGUAUACAGGUGGUGCAUGGUUGUCGUCAGCUCGUGUCGUGAGAUGUUGGGUUAAGUCCCGCAACGAGCGCAACCCUCGUCCUAUGUUGCCAGCGCGUUAUGGCGGGGACUCAUAGGAGACUGCCGGGGUCAACUCGGAGGAAGGUGGGGAUGAGGUCAAAUCAUCAUGCCCCUUAUGUCUUGGGCUUCAAGCAUGCUACAAUGGCCGGUACAAAGGGCUGCGAUACCGCAAGGUGGAGCGAAUCCCAAAAAGCCGGUCUCAGUUCGGAUUGGGGUCUGCAACUCGACCCCAUGAAGUCGGAGUCGCUAGUAAUCGCAGAUCAGCAACGCUGCGGUGAAUACGUUCUCGGGCCUUGUACACACCGCCCGUCACGUCAUGAAAGUCGGUAACACCCGAAGCCAGUGGCCCAACCCCUUGGGAGGGAGCUGUCGAAGGUGGGAUUGGCGAUUGGGACGAAGUCGUAACAAGGUAGCCG
rnacentral:rRNA from 1 species